CAAGUCGAGCGGCAGCGGAAAGUAGCUUGCUACUUUGCCGGCGAGCGGCGGACGGGUGAGUAAUGUCUGGGGAUCUGCCUGAUGGAGGGGGAUAACUACUGGAAACGGUAGCUAAUACCGCAUAACCUCGCAAGAGCAAAGUGGGGGACCUUCGGGCCUCACGCCAUCGGAUGAACCCAGAUGGGAUUAGCUAGUAGGUGGGGUAAUGGCUCACCUAGGCGACGAUCCCUAGCUGGUCUGAGAGGAUGACCAGCCACACUGGAACUGAGACACGGUCCAGACUCCUACGGGAGGCAGCAGUGGGGAAUAUUGCACAAUGGGCGCAAGCCUGAUGCAGCCAUGCCGCGUGUGUGAAGAAGGCCUUCGGGUUGUAAAGCACUUUCAGCGAGGAGGAAGGGUUAAGUGUUAAU
rnacentral:rRNA from 1 species